UCACGCGCACCUGGUCAGCAGCCCUGCGCCUCCCGCUACCCGGUACCCUGCCCAGCAUCACUCCCCGCACCACCUGGCCUGCCGCUUGCUGCCCCCGCUGCAGGUGACCACCCCCAGCAGCAGCGUCAAGAGCUACACCGACAGCGAGAAGCCGGUGUCCAAGUCCGACAACAAGAUCAAGUACGGCAAGUACGACCUGAUCAAGCCCUGGACCCUGCAGGAGCUGUCGGUGCACUUUGAGAACAACAAGCCCUUCAAGCAUGUGAGUGUUUGUGCGUGUGUGUGUGUGUGUGUGUGUCUGUAGGAAGCAAAACGGAAGAGAGCGCCAAGCGCCAAACGUUGCCUGUGUCUGAAUGUGUGUGUUUGCGUGCGUGUGCAUGCUUGUGAUGGAAACCAAGCGCGCGUGCGCCUGUUCCUGUGUUCAUGGGCAGCAAGCAUAUGUGUGGAGCCCAGUGAAAGGGAAGUUAAGACCUACCACACCUCACCACACACCUCACACCCCUCCCACACCUCCGCACAGAUUGUGACGUACGUCAAGGAGAUCGAGGUGUCGCACUGGGGCAACAUCUACGUGGAGGAGAAGUACGAGAUCAAGAACGCGGGCGCGCGCCACUCGGGCUCCUUUUCGCGCCUCAAGUACGCGCACUCCUACAACGGCAAGGCCAACUCCUUCCGGGUGAGUGAGGGUGUGUGUGUGAGUGUGAUGGUGCGUUAAAGCGCAUUCGGCGAUGUCAGAUGUAUCUUCACACACGACCACUGCGCUCGCAUGCGUCGCUCCAGCCCCCCCCCCCCCUGCCCACCUCCAUCUCUCACUGCCCCACCUUCCAGGACGUGCGCGCCGUGCUGCCCCCCUCGGCCCGCUCGCUGUACUACGUGGACCUCAUCGGCAACAUCAGCUCCUCCAACACCCGCAAGACCGUGCAGGCGGUGAGCGAGGCAGGCGGCGGCUGGGAAGCGGGGAGUGGAUAAUUGUUUCAGGAAGGGCGGGUGGUGUAGGAGCUUGGGACAAGAGAUAUUGGACAAUGUUUAUGGUCUUUUGCCGGGCCUCAUGACCACCCGCACACUCGUGAACCCCCUCUCAAUCCCUCACACACGCGCGCCCAAUUACUCACAUACACGCCUCUGCCAACCCACCCACCCCCAGACGGUUGUGGACAUCGACCUGCGCUACCCGCUCAUGGGCGGCUGGAAGGUGGACUUCACCCUGGGUAAGUCUAUGUGCGGGUGUGUUUGUGUUUGUGGGGCAGGGGGAGCGCCGCGGCCGCUGCGGGAGUGAGUGGGGCGCGGUAAUGCGGCUGGGGCGGGGAUGUUUGGGGGUAAGAGCGUUUGGGCUGCAGUGGAGCUAUCCUGAGGGGGCAUGGUUGCAUGGCCCCGGUACGCAACCGCCGUCGCCACACACGUGCCUCAUAGCCGCUCCGCCCUCUCCUCUCCUCAACUAUGCCCUCCCCCCUCCCUUCCCCUCACCUCCCCCCCUAUCUCAGGCUACUCUGUGCCUCUGACCGGCUUCCUGUUCCACACCAAGGGCGGCCGCCGCAAGCUCACCAUGGACCUGGCCUCGCCGCUGGAGGACGUGUUCGUGGAGGACAUGGUGGUGCGGGUGAGGCAAGGGGAGGGGGCGGGGGGGGGGGGCCAGGGGGCGGGGUUGAGGGGCGGGGGAGGUGAGAAGUUGCAGGUGACGGAGCCAUGGGAGAGAAGGCGGAGGCGGAGGUAUGCGAAGGCAGGCAGAGGCAUUGUCCUGCGCCGUCCCUUCCCGGGUCGUGCUCUCUACGCAACGCGCGCCCCUGCCCCCCCCCUACGCCUUCACUUCUUAAAUGAUCAUGAAUGUCAAAACCCCCCCUGCCCAGGUGGUCCUGCCCGAGGGCUCCUCCAAGCUCCAGGCGGUGCUGCCCUACGACAUGGACCAGAGCACCGACGUCAAGUGCGUGGGGUGCGAGCAGGGGCGAGCGGGAAGGGGGGGAGCGGGCCGCGUGUGUGUAGGGGGGGGAGGAGGGGGUUGUAGAUACCAGCCCAAACUGAACCGAACCCAAUGCAUUGGGGGGCCAUUGAUGAAGGCCGGCGGCUCCAGUCCGAGAUCAGCCGGGACCCAGCGGUGGAAACAGUGUCGGUUUCAAUGCACGCCCCCCGGAGAGGCAGCUGUGUAGGCAGAGGCACCUACAGCCUCCGCCUACACAGCUGCCUCCCCGGCACACACCUUCCACGCGCUAAAGUGCACCUCCCCAGGCGCCCAACCUCCUGUCAAUCAUCGCCCUCGCCUAACCUAGUACCGUUUGCACGACACCUGCCCUAUUCCCCCCCCCCCCGCGCGCGCAGGUACACCUACCUGGACACCACCGGCCGCCCGGUGCUGGUGCUUCACCGCCGCAACGUGGCCUCGCCCGAGCACAGCGCCAAGUUCAGUGUGGAGUACUCGUUCGCGGCCACCUCCAUCCUGCGCGAGCCGCUGCUGCUGGUGAGAGAGGCAGAGCGCAGGGGGGCGAGGGGCGGGAGGGGGGGAGCGAGGGACGAGGGACACGGGGUGUGCCAGAGCGCGCACGGCACUGCCCAGCACGGCACCUUGCGUGUGUGUGACCUCGUGGGGUCUUGUGAACCCUGUGCGCAAUCACGUUGAAGCCUCUCACCGUGCUGCACAUUGCAACCCCCCCCCUCUUCCUCUCCCUCUCCCUCUCCCCCGCUUUCCUCCACCGUGUAGGUCUCUGUGUUCUUCUGCCUGUUCGCGGCCGUGAUCGCCUACAACCGCCUGGAGCUGGUGAUCACGCGCGACGACAAGUGGGCGGCGGCGCGCGACAGGGAGGUGCUGGCAACCUACAUGGAGCAGAUCCAGGCGGCGCUGGAGGGUGAGGCGGGGGCGGAGGUGGAAGGGGCACAGGGAGGGAGGGAGGGAGGGCUGGGGAUGGGCUGAGCCCAGCGGGAAUGUCCCUGUCCCAGUGUCACCCAGAGAAGGCCCAGGGGCCGGCCCAUGCGAUGACUGGGACCUUCAGCUUGGUGAUUAGGCGCGACCGCCGGGAUGGCGCUGGCCGACCAUGUGUGCACCUGCUUGCACCCCUGCUUUCCCCACCCCGCGCCCCGCGUUCCGCUUUUCCUUCCGAACUUGGCAAUCCCGCUGCCCCACUGCCCCCGCCCCCAGACGAGGCCUCCCUCAUGGCCGGCUUCGAGGCCGCCACCCGGGCGGUGCGCGACACCGAGGACGUGGACGCGGCUCAGCGCAAGCGGGCGGCGGUGGAGAAGGGGUGCAAGGACCUGGAGGACAAGGUGGGGGCAAGCAAGGGGCAGGGACAGCGAGAGGCUGAGGGGUAGGCCACACAAGAUGUGCCGUAUGCGGAAUCGGUCGUGCCUGACUGCGUUUAUAUGUACCGGCUCCACACCAUCACUUCGCCCCCACCACCCGCGCGUGGCUGCUGCUUUCCAGUGCUUCACCCCCACGCUGACCCCCGCGUUCACUCGGUUGGCUUGCUGUGGUAUUCUGGAAUGAACUACCCCACCUCGCACCCCAACCCAAUCAACCCCACCCAACCCAACACUGCGUGCACAGGUGAAGCCGCUGCUGGCUGCCGUGGAGUCGCGCUCCGCCCGUGUCGCGGGCCAGGUGCGCGAGGUGCUGGACAAGUCCAAGGCGCUGCAGGCUCGCUACGGCCGGCAGCUGGCGGAGCGGGUGGAGCUGGUCAAGAAGGGCAGCACCAUGGGGGUGAGGAGCAAGGGGGGGUCCACCAUUGCGAAUAAGGAACUGGAGACACGAGGGUGUCAGGACAAGCGGGAGGAAGGGAGGAAAUGUGGUGCACAGGGUCGGUAUUCGCGACGGGGGCGCCCCAGGCAAUUACAGCUGUGCGGUGCUGCAUUAGGGCUCGCCCUGUCACCCACCACAGCACACCUGCUCCGCUGCCCCCCCGCCCCCAUGCCAACCCUCCCUGCACUGCUCCCCCCCAGGAGAUCAGCCGCAAGCUGGCUCCGGGCCAGGAGGCUUUGGAGGCUGCCCGCCGCGAGCUCAAGAACGCUAUCGACACCGUGUUCGGCGCGUACUGAGCGACCUGCUAGGGGGCCUGUGUGGCAUGAUGAUGGAGGUGGUGUUGUUAUGGAGGUGUGGUGAGAUGAGGAGGUGGCCUUGAAAAGCGGACACGUAGGGACAGGCAGUGACAGGCCGGCCCGCUGCAUACACAGGUGGGAGCCGGAGGAGGUGUGAGGUAUGGUCCAAGCCCCAACGACAUUGUGCUCUUGCCUUCUCCGAUACGCAUUCAAAUAGUUCAUCUGCGUUUAAUAUGGUAUGAUCCUGGUCCCAAGGGUUUAGAGGUACGGGCACGGGUAGGGGGGUGUUGCGUGUGCCUGUGUUGCUCGUCGUGUUUGCAGGGCAGACGGAACCGUGGCAGACGCUGUGCACCCAUUCCAGAGCAUCUUGGUUACAUGUGCCCCUGCCCAACCGGGGUGAGGUAUGACGCCACCACUGCACCCGCCCUUUGGACCUGUGCUGCCGCCCAAAUCAGAGCGCCACUUCCCUGCCCGCCGACCGCCACUACCGCCCGGUAACGUACACUCCGUGACUCCGUUCGCACUAGCUAGCGCGUCCAGAUUCCCCUUCUGCCUAAAGCCUACCGUAUGUCUAAAGUCUUCAGCAGUAUUCUCCUCGCAUCGACCCCGCUCGCGCUCUCCAACCGUCCUAGGGAGCGUCGGACGUCCUCCAGCUCUGCUUAGCCACGUGCAGACGCAUUGUGUUUGAUAAAACAAGUGAUAUGAGUACGAAUAGUCAGUCACAGAAUGAGGGCGCCUAUAACUCUCCCUCGUCGGAGUUCACCGGCCCGACGUUACCGGCCCCGGGCGCGCCUGAAUCCGUGGAAGGUGAGCGGGGACAGGCGCGGGGGCGCCCUCAGCAUCGGCAGCGAGCAGGCACGCCCUCCGCACGCGGACUCAGCUGAGUAAGCCCCCCCCCUUAUGGGUGCGCCGCACCCCCGGGGCACGCUAACAGUCGUGGACGCCCUCGCGGCCUUCAACGUGCUGCUCGCCCUCCUACAAGCGUACUUCCCGUCGACGAAGGUUGUCGCGAUGAUUCUCCUCGGAGUUGCAGUGACAGGUGAAGCCACCCCAGGAGGGCAGGAUGGGCAGCACAACGUCACUGCUACUCCGAUUAGGAUCAUCGCGACAACCUUCGUCGACGGGAAGCACGCUUGAAGGAGGGCGAGCAGCACGUUGAAGGCCGCGAGGGUGUCCACGACUGUGAAAAGGGGAGGAUGCCGCUAAGCCAGCUUCUCGUGCGCUGGGCCUGAGGUGAAGCCGCAGAAUGACAGCGCCAGGUGCAGAAACCACGUGACAUCCUCUGCGCAGGUUGUGCGAAAUACGUUGGGCAUCGACUGUUCAGCUGCAUCGAAAGUGUCCCCGGUACUCACCCUUGCUGAACCAUCUCUGCUCUUCCCGCAGCGCCUGGAGCUCGGCGCGUAUUUCGGCCCUGAGUGCUGCCAGCUCCUCCUGGAACUGCUGCGGCUGCUGCGGCUGCUGCGGUACCGCGUCCAUUUCAGCAGUCGGAAUUAAGCAAAGUCUUUCGAGGAGUUAGUGCGUUUCCGGUUUGGUCAGCCGCAGACACUUGAUCCCACAAUUCCAGCGACUUUUGCGACCGGCUCUCCACCGACCGCUUGGAUGCUUGCGCCCGGUCGCUGCCCCAGCUACUUCCGCGGUGAAAUAACAACGGUGAGCACUCUCAACCACUGCGAGGACAGCCCUAGCAACCGCACUGCGUAAGAAGUACAGCAUCGAUUUGCUGCAUGUUGAUUUUGGCGCAAAUGGGGGGUGCAAGCAGUUUGUUUCUCUCAGACGCGAGCUAGCGCCCAAGCGCGCGAUAUGGGGGCGAGGAGCCACUAUGUAGCUGUAACGAUUGCAUGAGUGGCGAAUUUUACUUCGAGGGUCUAGGGUGCGAGCGGAGUGGGAUUACCCCCCGAGGGGCACGCCAUGCGCUCAGGCCCCAUGCAACAGAAAUUCGCCGGGCACCAACCCACGCACAGAUAAUUCAUAGGACUACACCAUAGCCAUCAGAGACCGGCCGGGAACAAGCCCCGCAAGCGGGGCAGCAUGGGCGCGACACCACCCUGCCGCGCCAACUCACCCCAAACACGCCCCAACCACUUGUGCGACACAAGGGCUACCAUACAGUAGCGCGCGACACCUAAUCGCGUGCGCCGGAGUGUGCGAGCAAACAUUGUACGGAGGAGCUCGUUUGGGCCCUAGGACGCAGGGCCUGGGCUGGCAUUUGGUGCAUUCAAUAGAGCAUAGAAAACCGAGGCCACAUAUGUGCUCGGGUGCGCAAAGGUCGGCGGAAUUGUGGGAUCAAGUGACGUGGAAAUGGAUCUGGGGGACUGCGGGGUUUUGGGGUGUGUUGGGUUGGUGGCGUGAAGGGUGUGAUUUGUGAGGAAUUUAUCGAUGCAUGCCAAGUUGCACGCCUUUCCCCUGUGUUUCCUACAUGCCCCUGAACCCUCCCUUUGCUGGCUGCAGGCGAAGCGACAAGUGGUACCGCUGGUACCACCCACGGGGGCCUUGUGCCCAAGCCGGGNNNNNNNNNNNNNNNNNNNNNNNNNNNNNNNNNNNNNNNNNNNNNNNNNNNNNNNNNNNNNNNNNNNNNNNNNNNNNNNNNNNNNNNNNNNNNNNNNNNNUGGUACUAUACACGUGGCGGUCAUCGACAUUGCUUUGUGCCGGCGCGCAGCACCCAGGAUGUGCGGCGAUCGCUGAAAUGCAGUUGUGGGGUCCACACUCAUAUGGCACCCACGCCCCACACAGCACUGAUGCAGGGCUCCUGCAGCCGUCACGCCAUGGGAAUCAGCAUAUGGGCAGUGGCCUGUGCAUACUUCUCUGUGGCCUGGCGGGGCAUCUGGCCAGGGCGUUUGACUAGCGGCAUGGGGCCUGCACGCCGGUAGGGGGGCGCAGGCCCAAAAUGAUGCAAGGAAGCUGAUGUGUUGCGUGAGGUGCGCAGCGGUUCCUGAUGGACGUGGGUGCUUUCAUGCGUAUGUAUAUUGGCUAUGUGUGUUGAUCUUUGCACCAGGGUGGUGUCGCCGCGCAGCGGAGCAUUGGUGUUGGUGCACGGGGCGUGAACAUUGGGGCCCGCAGUUGGGAUCGCGCCGGCACGGUCGCGGGCACCGCUGAAGAUAUGUUGGCGCGACCGGUCGCUUAUGGUGCACGCUAAUACCCGCAUACUGUGUGUAAGCACCGAUUGCAAUUAUAAGUUGCGCAUGUAGAUAUCGGUCUUCUCCCGACAUGCGCUCUGAUGACGGUUCCAUUUCCGCCAACUUAGGGUGAGAGUUAAGAGCCGGAGCCCUGUUGCCACCUGCAAAAUGCCUUAGCAACAUGUGGCAACUAUCUGCCCGAAGCAAGUUGCAAGCCAGCCCAGUUCAGGUUGCCACAUGCCAUGCUGGGUAUUCCCAGCGCGCUAGCGCACCUGCUUGGGCAGCUCGCUAUGGCUGCCGUCGACAGUUGACCCUGGUAUGCCAUCGCUAGAGUCGCAGCCCGCUCCGGCCAACCUCGCUCCUCCGCAACCGACACACGAACCCGACGUCACUUGAUCCCACAAUUCCAGCGACUUUUGCGACCGGCUCUCCACCGACCGCUUGGAUGCUUGCGCCCGGUCGCUGCCCCAGCUACUUCCGCGGUGAAAUAACAACGGUGAGCACUCUCAACCACUGCGAGGACAGCCCUAGCAACCGCACUGCGUAAGAAGUACAGCAUCGAUUUGCUGCAUGUUGAUUUUGGCGCAAAUGGGGGGUGCAAGCAGUUUGUUUCUCUCAGACGCGAGCUAGCGCCCAAGCGCGCGAUAUGGGGGCGAGGAGCCACUAUGUAGCUGUAACGAUUGCAUGAGUGGCGAAUUUUACUUCGAGGGUCUAGGGUGCGAGCGGAGUGGGAUUACCCCCCGAGGGGCACGCCAUGCGCUCAGGCCCCAUGCAACAGAAAUUCGCCGGGCACCAACCCACGCACAGAUAAUUCAUAGGACUACACCAUAGCCAUCAGAGACCGGCCGGGAACAAGCCCCGCAAGCGGGGCAGCAUGGGCGCGACACCACCCUGCCGCGCCAACUCACCCCAAACACGCCCCAACCACUUGUGCGACACAAGGGCUACCAUACAGUAGCGCGCGACACCUAAUCGCGUGCGCCGGAGUGUGCGAGCAAACAUUGUACGGAGGAGCUCGUUUGGGCCCUAGGACGCAGGGCCUGGGCUGGCAUUUGGUGCAUUCAAUAGAGCAUAGAAAACCGAGGCCACAUAUGUGCUCGGGUGCGCAAAGGUCGGCGGAAUUGUGGGAUCAAGUGACGUGGAAAUGGAUCUGGGGGACUGCGGGGUUUUGGGGUGUGUUGGGUUGGUGGCGUGAAGGGUGUGAUUUGUGAGGAAUUUAUCGAUGCAUGCCAAGUUGCACGCCUUUCCCCUGUGUUUCCUACAUGCCCCUGAACCCUCCCUUUGCUGGCUGCAGGCGAAGCGACAAGUGGUACCGCUGGUACCACCCACGGGGGCCUUGUGCCCAAGCCGUGGUGGCGCAUGGUAACUAUACACGUGGCGGUCAUCGACAUUGCUUUGUGCCGGCGCGCAGCACCCAGGAUGUGCGGCGAUCGCUGAAAUGCAGUUGUGGGGUCCACACUCAUAUGGCACCCACGCCCCACACAGCACUGAUGCAGGGCUCCUGCAGCCGUCACGCCAUGGGAAUCAGCAUAUGGGCAGUGGCCUGUGCAUACUUCUCUGUGGCCUGGCGGGGCAUCUGGCCAGGGCGUUUGACUAGCGGCAUGGGGCCUGCACGCCGGUAGGGGGGCGCAGGCCCAAAAUGAUGCAAGGAAGCUGAUGUGUUGCGUGAGGUGCGCAGCGGUUCCUGAUGGACGUGGGUGCUUUCAUGCGUAUGUAUAUUGGCUAUGUGUGUUGAUCUUUGCACCAGGGUGGUGUCGCCGCGCAGCGGAGCAUUGGUGUUGGUGCACGGGGCGUGAACAUUGGGGCCCGCAGUUGGGAUCGCGCCGGCACGGUCGCGGGCACCGCUGAAGAUAUGUUGGCGCGACCGGUCGCUUAUGGUGCACGCUAAUACCCGCAUACUGUGUGUAAGCACCGAUUGCAAUUAUAAGUUGCGCAUGUAGAUAUCGGUCUUCUCCCGACAUGCGCUCUGAUGACGGUUCCAUUUCCGCCAACUUAGGGUGAGAGUUAAGAGCCGGAGCCCUGUUGCCACCUGCAAAAUGCCUUAGCAACAUGUGGCAACUAUCUGCCCGAAGCAAGUUGCAAGCCAGCCCAGUUCAGGUUGCCACAUGCCAUGCUGGGUAUUCCCAGCGCGCUAGCGCACCUGCUUGGGCAGCUCGCUAUGGCUGCCGUCGACAGUUGACCCUGGUAUGCCAUCGCUAGAGUCGCAGCCCGCUCCGGCCAACCUCGCUCCUCCGCAACCGACACACGAACCCGACGUCUGACGUGGAAAUGGAUCUGGGGGACUGCGGGGUUUUGGGGUGUGUUGGGUUGGUGGCGUGAAGGGUGUGAUUUGUGAGGAAUUUAUCGAUGCAUGCCAAGUUGCACGCCUUUCCCCUGUGUUUCCUACAUGCCCCUGAACCCUCCCUUUGCUGGCUGCAGGCGAAGCGACAAGUGGUACCGCUGGUACCACCCACGGGGGCCUUGUGCCCAAGCCGUGGUGGCGCAUGGUAACUAUACACGUGGCGGUCAUCGACAUUGCUUUGUGCCGGCGCGCAGCACCCAGGAUGUGCGGCGAUCGCUGAAAUGCAGUUGUGGGGUCCACACUCAUAUGGCACCCACGCCCCACACAGCACUGAUGCAGGGCUCCUGCAGCCGUCACGCCAUGGGAAUCAGCAUAUGGGCAGUGGCCUGUGCAUACUUCUCUGUGGCCUGGCGGGGCAUCUGGCCAGGGCGUUUGACUAGCGGCAUGGGGCCUGCACGCCGGUAGGGGGGCGCAGGCCCAAAAUGAUGCAAGGAAGCUGAUGUGUUGCGUGAGGUGCGCAGCGGUUCCUGAUGGACGUGGGUGCUUUCAUGCGUAUGUAUAUUGGCUAUGUGUGUUGAUCUUUGCACCAGGGUGGUGUCGCCGCGCAGCGGAGCAUUGGUGUUGGUGCACGGGGCGUGAACAUUGGGGCCCGCAGUUGGGAUCGCGCCGGCACGGUCGCGGGCACCGCUGAAGAUAUGUUGGCGCGACCGGUCGCUUAUGGUGCACGCUAAUACCCGCAUACUGUGUGUAAGCACCGAUUGCAAUUAUAAGUUGCGCAUGUAGAUAUCGGUCUUCUCCCGACAUGCGCUCUGAUGACGGUUCCAUUUCCGCCAACUUAGGGUGAGAGUUAAGAGCCGGAGCCCUGUUGCCACCUGCAAAAUGCCUUAGCAACAUGUGGCAACUAUCUGCCCGAAGCAAGUUGCAAGCCAGCCCAGUUCAGGUUGCCACAUGCCAUGCUGGGUAUUCCCAGCGCGCUAGCGCACCUGCUUGGGCAGCUCGCUAUGGCUGCCGUCGACAGUUGACCCUGGUAUGCCAUCGCUAGAGUCGCAGCCCGCUCCGGCCAACCUCGCUCCUCCGCAACCGACACACGAACCCGACGUCAGACGUGGAAAUGGAUCUGGGGGACUGCGGGGUUUUGGGGUGUGUUGGGUUGGUGGCGUGAAGGGUGUGAUUUGUGAGGAAUUUAUCGAUGCAUGCCAAGUUGCACGCCUUUCCCCUGUGUUUCCUACAUGCCCCUGAACCCUCCCUUUGCUGGCUGCAGGCGAAGCGACAAGUGGUACCGCUGGUACCACCCACGGGGGCCUUGUGCCCAAGCCGUGGUGGCGCAUGGUAACUAUACACGUGGCGGUCAUCGACAUUGCUUUGUGCCGGCGCGCAGCACCCAGGAUGUGCGGCGAUCGCUGAAAUGCAGUUGUGGGGUCCACACUCAUAUGGCACCCACGCCCCACACAGCACUGAUGCAGGGCUCCUGCAGCCGUCACGCCAUGGGAAUCAGCAUAUGGGCAGUGGCCUGUGCAUACUUCUCUGUGGCCUGGCGGGGCAUCUGGCCAGGGCGUUUGACUAGCGGCAUGGGGCCUGCACGCCGGUAGGGGGGCGCAGGCCCAAAAUGAUGCAAGGAAGCUGAUGUGUUGCGUGAGGUGCGCAGCGGUUCCUGAUGGACGUGGGUGCUUUCAUGCGUAUGUAUAUUGGCUAUGUGCUUCCANNNNNNNNNNNNNNNNNNNNNNNNNNNNNNNNNNNNNNNNNNNNNNNNNNNNNNNNNNNNNNNNNNNNNNNNNNNNNNNNNNNNNNNNNNNNNNNNNNNNUGCCUUAGCAACAUGUGGCAACUAUCUGCCCGAAGCAAGUUGCAAGCCAGCCCAGUUCAGGUUGCCACAUGCCAUGCUGGGUAUUCCCAGCGCGCUAGCGCACCUGCUUGGGCAGCUCGCUAUGGCUGCCGUCGACAGUUGACCCUGGUAUGCCAUCGCUAGAGUCGCAGCCCGCUCCGGCCAACCUCGCUCCUCCGCAACCGACACACGAACCCGACGUCACUUGAUCCCACAAUUCCAGCGACUUUUGCGACCGGCUCUCCACCGACCGCUUGGAUGCUUGCGCCCGGUCGCUGCCCCAGCUACUUCCGCGGUGAAAUAACAACGGUGAGCAC
rnacentral:lncRNA from 1 species